rnacentral:rRNA from 1 species
AUUGAACGCUGGCGGCAGGCCUAACACAUGCAAGUAGAGCGGAGCGGCGGACGGAUGGGAAAUGCCUAGGAAUCUGCCUGGUAGUGGGGGAGAACGUCCGGCAACGAGAGCUAAUACAGCAUACUAUCGGAUGAGCCUAGGUCGGAUUAGCUAGUUGGUGGGGUAAAGGCCUACCAAGGCGACGAUCCGUAACUGGUCUGAGAGGAUGAUCAGUCAAACUGGAACUGAGACACGGUCCAGACUCCUACGUUAGGCAGAAGUGGGGAAUAUUGGACAAUGGGUGAAAGCCUGAUUCAGCCAUGCCGCGUGUGUGAAGAAGGUCUUCGGAUUGUAAAGCACUUUAAGUUGGGAGGCGUUACCAACAGAAUAAGCACCGGCUAACUUCGUGCCAGCAGCCGCGGUAAUUC